rnacentral:rRNA from 1 species
UACAGAGGUCUCAAGCGUUGUUCGGAUUCAUUGGGCGUAAAGGGUGCGUAGGCGGCGCGGUAAGUCGGGUGUGAAAAUCUCGGGAGCUUAACUCCGAAACUGCAUUCGAUACUGCCGUGCUUGAGGACUGGAGAGGAGACUGGAAUUUACGGUGUAGCGGUGAAAUGCGUAGAUAUCGUAAGGAAGACCAGUGGCGAAGGCGGGGUCUCUGGACAGUUCCUGACACUGAGACACGAAGGCCAGGGGAGCAAAACGGGG